rnacentral:rRNA from 1 species
CUACGGGAUGCUGCAGUGGGGAAUAUUGGACAAUGGGGGAAACCCUGAUCCAGCAAUGCCGCGUGUGUGAAGAAGGCCUGCGGGUUGUAAAGCACUUUCGGUUGGGAGGACUGCUUCUAGCACUAAUAUUGUUGGAAGUUGACGUUACCUUCAGAAGAAGCACCGGGUAACUCCGUGCCAGCAGCCGCGGGAAUACGGAGGGUGCAAGCGUUAAUCGGAAUUACUGGGCGUAAAGCGCGCGUAGGCGGCUAGAUCAGUCGGGUGUGAAAGCCCCGGGCUUAACCUGGGAACUGCAUCCGAUACUGUCUAGCUUGAGUACAGGAGAGGAGAGUGGAAUUCUACAUGUAGCGGUGAAAUGCGUAGAUAUGUGGAGGAACACCAAUGGCGAAGGCAGCUCUCUGGCCUGAUACUGACGCUGAGGUGCGAAAGCGUGGGGAGCAAACAGGAUUAGAUACCCUAGUAGUC